GAAAAUAUAAUUAUUUUCUUUUCAAUUUAAUCUUUAUUAUAUCUUCCCAAACUAGGGAAAAUAAUUAUAUUUUUCUAUCUCUCCUUUUUAUUUUCUAUCUAUCCAAAUAAGAACAAGAAAUUCACCUUUUAUUUUCCUUUCCCUCUAAAAAAAUUUCCUAAACACAGUGCAAAUGAUGAGGUUGGAAAGAGCAAUUCCGUUGCUCUGUAUUGUACACU
rnacentral:misc_RNA from 1 species